rnacentral:rRNA from 1 species
AACGGGUGAGUAACACGUGAGUAACCUGCCCUUAACUUCGGGAUAAGCCUGGGAAACCGGGUCUAAUACCGGAUACGACCUCCUGACGCAUGUCAUGGGGGUGGAAAGCUUGAUGCGGUUUUGGAUGGACUCGCGGCCUAUCAGCUAGUUGGUUGGGGUAAUGGCCCACCAAGGCGACGACGGGUAGCCGGCCUGAGAGGGUGACCGGCCACACUGGGACUGAGACACGGCCCAGACUCCUACGGGAGGCAGCAGUGGGGAAUAUUGCACAAUGGGCGAAAGCCUGAUGCAGCGACGCCGCGUGAGGGACGAAGGCCUUCGGGUUGUAAACCUCUUUCAGCAGGGAAGAAGCGAAAGUGACGGUACCUGCAGAAGAAGCGCCGGCU